rnacentral:misc_RNA from 1 species
AAAAAGUGAAAGUCUCUCUUCAUAUCUCCCUCUCCUACUCACCCUUUCAUCUUCCCAUUGUCCACGCUGGCCACCUGACGCAUCGGAAGCGCUGCCGUGUUUUCUUCUUUCCCGUUUCAGUCGAACUGCAAUCAUGGCGGACUACAAGGUAAAGGACAUCAGCCUCGCGGAGUGGGGCCGCAAGGCGAUCGAGCUGGCUGAAAACGAGAUGCCUGGUCUGAUGGAGCUACGCCGCGAGUACGGCCCCUCCCAGCCUUUGAAGGGCGCCAAGAUCGCCGGCUGCCUGCACAUGACUGUGCAGACUGCCGUGCUGAUCGAGACCCUCAAGGCCCUCGGUGCGGAGCUGCGCUGGUCGUCGUGCAACAUCUUUUCCACUCAGGAUAACGCCGCUGCGGCCAUUGCCAAGGCUGGCGUACCGGUGUUCGCGUGGAAGGGUGAGACAGACGAGGAGUAUGAGUGGUGCAUCGCCCAGACAGUGAAGGGCUUCAGCGGUGACGGUCUGCCGAACAUGAUCCUCGACGACGGUGGCGACCUCACGAAUCUGGUGAUCGACCACCACCCCGAGCUCGUGCCCAAGAUCUUCGGUAUCUCCGAGGAGACCACAACGGGUGUGAAGAACCUGUACAAGCGCCUGAGCAAGGGCAACCUCCCCAUCUCCGCUAUCAACGUUAACGACAGCGUGACGAAGAGCAAGUUCGACAACCUUUACGGCUGCCGAGAGUCCUUGGUGGACGGCAUCAAGCGCGCCACGGAUGUAAUGAUUGCCGGCAAGACGUGCUGCGUGUGCGGAUACGGUGAUGUUGGUAAGGGCUGCGCCGCCGCCCUGCGCGCCUUCGGCGCUCGCGUCGUGGUAACGGAGGUGGACCCGAUCAACGCCCUGCAGGCCUCCAUGGAGGGCUACCAGGUCGCUCUGGUCGAGGACGUCAUGGCCGAUGCGCACAUCUUCGUGACGACCACCGGCAACGAUGACAUCAUCACCUCUGAACACUUCCCGCACAUGCGCGACGACGCCAUUGUGUGCAACAUCGGCCACUUCGACACGGAGAUCCAGGUGGGAUGGCUGGAGGCAAACGCCAAAGAGCACGUGGAAAUCAAGCCUCAGGUGGACCGUUAUACCAUGGAGAACGGCCGCCACAUCAUCCUGCUGGCUAAGGGCCGCCUGGUCAACCUCGGCUGCGCCAGCGGCCACCCGUCCUUCGUGAUGUCCAACUCCUUCACGAACCAGGUGCUGGCUCAGAUCGAGCUCUGGAGCAACCGCGACAACGGCAAGUACCCACGCGGUGACAAGGCCGGCGUGUUCUUCCUGCCCAAGGCGCUCGAUGAGAAGGUCGCUGCCCUCCACCUUGCCCACGUCGGCGCCAAGCUGACGAAACUGACUCCGAAACAGGCCGAGUACAUCAACUGCCCGGUCAACGGCCCGUUCAAGCCGGACCACUACCGCUACUAAGCGCGUGCGCUGGUCCACAGGAAAGCCUGGAGAGUGCGAGAGGGGAGUGGGGCUGCUUGAGAGGAAGCAUGAUGAGACGUGACGGCGGGAGCGUUCGAUGAAGGAGCUGAGGGUUGCCGCAUACCCGACAGGCGCGCACACGCUGACGCUGCCAUCCUGAAACGACAGUGCGGUCGACUCCCGCUGCUCCUUCUUUGAUCGUCCGCUUCUUGCCUUGUUUUUCGUUCGAUCGCCCCUCUUCCUCCCUUUUUUCGUCCUUUCUCCACUCAAG